UAAUGUUACUUGCUGUGGCGCACCUGGAGGACAAGGCUGAGGUUGUCUGUCCCUUCCGACUACAAUUGCAGCAUUCCGUCACCUCCUGCCAGACGCACCGAGCGAUCGUCCUGACCAGUAACGCAGUAAAUCACAUUUCGCCCCGAACCCAAGCCUUGUUGGAGCCAACUGACAGACAAUGUCGUCAACACGCCGCGAUGUCUCAGUGCUCGUUCCGUUCUCCGCUGUAAACAAGGAGAAGGCGGACAUGUUGCGGAGAUGCCCGGAUGUACAGGUAAAGGACAUCAUCUUCAGCAAUAUAGGAGACAAGGAGACGCUCCUGGAGUACACACAGCGGAUGAAGAAGGUUGGUAAAAUCUAUGAUGAGACUUUGAUAUUCU